CCUACGGGAGCAGCAGUGAGGAAUAUUGGUCAAUGGGCGGGUGCCUGAACCAGCCAAGUCGCGUGAGGGACGACGGUCCUAUGGAUUGUAAACCUCUUUUGUCGGGGAACAAAGGCGUCCACGGGUGGGCGGAUGAGUGUACCCGAAGAAAAAGCAUCGGCUAACCCCGUGCCAGCAGCCGCGGUAAUACGGGGGAUGCGAGCGUUUUCCGGAUUUAUUGGGUUUAAAGGGUUGGUAGGCGGACAGUCAAGUCAGCGGUAAGAAUGCGGUGCUCAACGCCGUACAGCCGUUGUAACUGCAGUCGUGAGUAGGCGAGAAGUAUGCGGAAUGCGUGGUGUAGCGGUGAAAUGCAUCGAUAUCACGCAGAACUCCGAUUGCGAAGGCAGCAUACCGGCGCCCUACUGACGCUGAGGCACGAAAGCGUGGGUAUCGAACAGGAUUAGAUACCCGAGUAGUC
rnacentral:rRNA from 1 species